AGACAACCAGGAUGUUGGCUUAGAAGCAGCCAUGCAUUUAAAGAGUGCGUAACAGCUCACUGGUCAAGUGGACAUGCGCCGACAAUACACGGGGCUAAGCGUUGUACCGAAGCAGCGGACUGUUUUAUCAGUGGUAGGGGAGCUUUCCAUGCCGGGGCGAAGCCGACGGGCGACCGUCGGUGGACCGCAUGGAAGUGAGAAUGCUGGCAUGAGUAACGAGAGAGGGGCGAGAAACCCCUCCGCCGUAAGCCUAAGGGUUCCUGGGCAAGGCUAAUCCCCCCAGGGUCAGUCGGGAGCUAAGGCGAGGCCGACAGGCGUAGCCGAUGCACAACAGGCGGACAUUCCUGUACCACCGCGGAGCGUUACUACGACGGGGUGACGGAGAAGGGUAGCCGGGCGGGGUUCUGGACGUCCCCGUGAAAGCGCGUAGGCCGCAGGGCAGGCAAAUCCGCCCUGCAGCGAGGCCGAGACGUUAGACGAAGCUUCAUGUGAAGCCGGCGAGCCCAUGCUUCCGAGAAAAACCUCUAAGGAGCGAGGCGGUGCCCGUACCAAAACCGACACAGGUAGGCGGGUAGAGCAUACCAAGGCGAUCGGGAGAACCAUGGUUAAGGAACUCGGCAUACUGACUCCGUAACUUCGGGAGAAGGAGUGCCCCGCCUGUGAGGUCCCACGCGGACGGAGCGGGAGGGGGUCGCAGCGAAACGGCCCAAGCGACUGUUUACCAAAAACACAGGACUCUGCAAAGCCGCAAGGCGACGUAUAGGGUCUGACGCCUGCCCGGUGCUGGAAGGUUACGCGGAUGAGUUAGCGCAAGCGAAGCCCUGAAGCCAAGCCCCAGUAAACGGCGGCCGUAACUAUAACGGUCCUAAGGUAGCGAAAUUCCUUGUCGGGUAAGUUCCGACCUGCACGAAUGGCGUAACGACUUGGGCGCUGUCUCAACCAUGGACCCGGUGAAAUUGUAUUAUUCGUGAAGAUGCGAAUUACCUGCGGAAGGACGGAAAGACCCCGUGAACCUUUACUGCAGCUUGGCAUUGGCUGUUGGUGCGGUGCGUAGAGGAUAGGCAGGAGCCUGCGAACCGGGAACGCCAGUUCCCGGGGAGGCGCCCUUGGAAUACUGCCCUCACCGCAUCGGCAGCCUAACGCGCCGCCCUCAUCGGGGGCGCGGACCGUGCCAGGUGGGUAGUUUGACUGGGGCGGUCGCCUCCUAAACUGUAACGGAGGCGUGCGAAGGUUCGCUCAGGGCGGUUGGCAAUCGCCCGCAGAGCACAAGAGUACAAGCGAGCCUGACUGCGAGACCAACAAGUCGAGCAGAGACGAAAGUCGGUUCUAGUGAUCCGGCGGCCCAGCGUGGAAUGGCCGUCGCUCAACGGAUAAAAGGUACUCCGGGGAUAACAGGCUGAUCUUGCCCAAGAGUCCACAUCGACGGCAAGGUUUGGCACCUCGAUGUCGGCUCAUCGCAUCCUGGGGCUGUAGCAGGUCCCAAGGGUACGGCUGUUCGCCGUUUAAAGCGGUACGCGAGCUGGGUUCAGAACGUCGUGAGACAGUUCGGUCCCUAUCCUCCGUGGGCGCAAGAGAAUUGAGAGGAUCUGUCCCUAGUACGAGAGGACCGGGAUGGACGCACCUCUGGUGCCGCAGUUGUCGACCAACGGCACAGCUGCCUAGCUACGUGCGGAACGGAUAACCGCUGAAAGCAUCUAAGCGGGAAGCCGGCCUCGAGAUGAGUUCUCUCUUCGGUAAGGCCACUUGUAGACCACAAGUUCGAUAGGCCGCAGCUGCAAGCCCCGCGAGGGGCUCAGGCGAGCGGUACUAAUCGGCCGAGCUCUUCAUCUC
rnacentral:rRNA from 1 species